GAUGAAGAACGCAGCGAAAUGCGAUAAGUAAUGUGAAUUGCAGAAUUCAGUGAAUCAUCGAAUCUUUGAACGCUCCUUGCAGCCUUUGGCAUUCCGAAGGGUAUGCUCGUUUGAGUGUCAUUGUACUCUCACACUUCCGAUCUUUGGAUUGGGAGCGGUGGACUUGGGUGUUGCUGCUUACUGUGGCUCACCUCAAAUCGAUUCGUGCACCUCUUGGUUGGACAUAGUACGGCGUGAUAAGUGUCUUCGCCGGCACCUCAGUAGAGGGUGGCUCAUCGGGAGCUCUGUGCUUCAAACCGUCCUCGGACAACAACUGACAACUUGACCUCAAAUCGAGUAGGACUACCCGCUGAACUUAAGCAUAUCAAUAAGCGGAGGA
rnacentral:misc_RNA from 1 species